CCCCGGAGUAGAAGCUGUCAACGCCAUCCCGGCGUGGGUCAUUGCUCCUCAA
rfam:Pannonibacter phragmitetus strain 31801, complete genome.